UCUCUUUAUUAUUAUCCCAACUCUCAAAGAGUCUCAACACUUCAAGUUCAAGAUUCAAACUUUGAUUCCAAUAAUCAAUUUCAAGAACACCCAGAAUCAUUUUCAACAUAAUCCCUCAAAAUAAUCUUCAUUUCAAAAUCUGGGUCACAUGAAUUUCAAGUGUUUAGAAGAUUUCUGGGUAUUCUACAUGAACCAUCACACAAAGCAAUUAACAAGAAGAUGUCACUUCAUAGGAACACUCUUCACAAUCAUCUUCUUUCUCUUCUCAAUCUUCUUCACUUGGAAGUUUUUGUUUCUUGUUCCAUUUUCUGCUUAUGGAUUUUCAAUGUAUAGUCAUUUGAUGAUUGAAGGGAAUUUUCCUGUUACUAUUGGGUACCCUUUUUGGUCUCUUUUCUGUGAUUUCAAAUUGUUUUGGUUUAUGAUUACUGGAAAAAUGGAUAGAGAAAUGAAAAGACUUGGGAAGAGACCUGUGUUGCAAUUGUUCUGAAUUUUUUUAUGGGCAAUAUAUGCACAAUUUCGACACAAUUAUUUGAAACAUGAAAGUGCAAAUACAUUAGUCAAUUAGUCAAUUAUUGGUUGUAAAUAAAAAAUGUUAUUUGAUCAUCAAUGUUUUCUAGCUAACUUGUGUGGUUACAAA